AAAAGAAACCAACAGGGAUUGCCCCAGUAACGGCGAGUGAAGCGGCAACAGCUCAAAUUUGAAAUCUGGCUCCUAGAGUCCGAGUUGUAAUUUGUAGAGGAUGCUUUUGAUGCGGUGCCUUCCGAGUUCCCUGGAACGGGACGCCAUAGAGGGUGAGAGCCCCGUCUGGUCGGAUGCCAAAUCUCUGUAAAGCUCCUUCGACGAGUCGAGUAGUUUGGGAAUGCUGCUCUAAAUGGGAGGUAUAUGUCUUCUAAAGCUAAAUAUUGGCCAGAGACCGAUAGCGCACAAGUAGAGUGAUCGAAAGAUGAAAAGCACUUUGAAAAGAGGGUUAAAUAGUACGUGAAAUUGUUGAAAGGGAAGCGUUUAUGACCAGACUUGGGCCCGGUGAAUCAUCCAGCGUUCUCGCUGGUGCACUUUGCCGGGCACAGGCCAGCAUCAGUUUGUCUUGGGGGAAAAAGGCUUUGGGAACGUAGCUCCUCCGGGAGUGUUAUAGACCUUUGCAUAAUACCCUGGGACGGACUGAGGUUCGCGCAUCUGCAAGGAUGCUGGCGUAAUGGUCAUCAGCGACCCGUCUUGAAACACGGACCAAGGAGUCGUCUUCGUAUGCGAGUGUUCGGGUGUAAAACCCCUACGCGUAAUGAAAGUGAACGCAGGUGAGAGCUUCGGCGCAUCAUCGACCGAUCCUGAUGUUCUCGGAUGGAUUUGAGUAAGAGCAUACGGGGCCGGACCCGAAAGAAGGUGAACUAUUCCUGUAUAGGGUGAAGCCAGAGGAAACUCUGGUGGAGGCUCGCAGCGGUUCUGACGUGCGAAUCGAUCGUCAAAUAUGGGAAUGGGGGCGAAAGACUAAUCGA
rnacentral:rRNA from 1 species